rnacentral:rRNA from 1 species
UACGUAGGGUGCAAGCGUUAAUCGGAAUUACUGGGCGUAAAGCGUGCGCAGGCGGUUGUGUAAGACAGGCGUGAAAUCCCCGGGCUCAACCUGGGAAUGGCGCUUGUGACUGCACAGCUCGAGUGCGGCAGAGGGGGAUGGAAUUCCGCGUGUAGCAGUGAAAUGCGUAGAUAUGCGGAGGAACACCAAUGGCGAAGGCAAUCCCCUGGGCCUGCACUGACGCUCAUGCACGAAAGCGUGGGGAGCAAACAGGAUUAGAUACCCUGGUAGUCCACGCCCUAAACGAUGUCAACUGGUUGUUGGGUCUUAGCUGACUCAGUAACGAAGCUAACGCGUGAAGUUGACCGCCUGGGGAGUACGGCCGCAAGGCUAAA